rnacentral:tRNA from 1 species
UCCCUGGGGGUCUAGUGGUUAGGACUUGGCGCUUUCACUACCAUGGCCCGGGUUCAAUCCCUGAUAAGGGAA